rnacentral:ncRNA from 1 species
AUCCUGGCACAGGAACGACCAUAAAGAAGCCGUCGAGAGAUAUCGGAAGAGUUUUCUUUUCUGUUUUAUAGCCGUACUACCAUGGAAGUCUUUCGCAGAGAGAUAUGGUAGAUGGGCUAGAAGAGCAUGACAUAUACUGUUGUGUCGAUAUUUUCUCCUCGGACCUUGAAAAUUUAUGGUGGGGACACGCAAACUUCUCAACAGGCCGUACCAAUAUCCGCAGCUGGUCUCCAAGGUGAAGAGUCUCUAGUCGAUAGAAUAAUGUAGGUAAGGGAAGUCGGCAAAUUAGAUCCGUAACUUCGGGAUAAGGAUUGGCUCUGAAGAUUGAGAUAGUCGGGCUUGAUUGGGAAACAAUAACAUGGUUUAUGUGCUCGUUCUGGGUAAAUAGAGUUUCUAGCAUUUAUGUUAGUUACUUGUUCCCCGGAUAGUUUAGUUACGUAGCCAAUUGUGGAACUUUCUUGCUAAAAUUUUUAAGAAUACUAUUUGGGUUAAACCAAUUAGUUCUUAUCAAUUAUAACGAUUAUCAAUUAACAAUCAAUUCAGAACUGGCACGGACUUGGGGAAUCCGACUGUCUAAUUAAAACAAAGCAUUGUGAUGGCCCUAGCGGGUGUUGACACAAUGUGAUUUCUGCCCAGUGCUCUGAAUGUCAAAGUGAAGAAAUUCAAGUAAGCGCGGGUCAACGGCGGGAGUAACUAUGACUCUCUUAAGGUAGCCAAAUGCCUCGUCAUCUAAUUAGUGACGCGCAUGAAUGGAUUAACGAGAUUCCUACUGUCCCUAUCUACUCAGUGACGCGCAUGAAUGGAUUAACGACGGACGU